rnacentral:rRNA from 1 species
AGAACAAACGCUAGGCGGCGGUGGCCUAAGUACUAAUGCAAGUCGAAACGAGGUAGCGAAUACCGAAGUAGGCGCACGGGUGAGUAACACGUGACUAACCUACCCUUGAGUGGGGGAUAACCUAGAGAAAUCUGGGCUAAAUACCGCAUAAUACCUUCGGGUCAAAGGAGCAAUUCGCUUAAGGAGGGGGUCGCGGCCGAUUAGUUAGUUGGCGGGGUAAUGGCCCACCAAGACUAUGAUCGGUAUCC